CCCGAGAGCUGAAGGUGCCGCGAUGUCGCCGUGUUUUCUUCUCUUAUUAUUAUUAUUAUGUAAUAAAACAUUAAAAGAUACAUAAUAACAUUAAAAGAUACAUUGGGGUUCUAAGUGGAGGGUUCUGGUGAGGGUUAAAGGUCGAAAAAAUUCACACAAAAAGGUUUUAUAAAUAUGCGCAAAAAUAUCAAGAUCCUUACAUGUGGUGGUGAAGAAUUCAGAGAGAAUGGAGACGUGAUAUCAUGUAAACGUAUGGAUACGUGAUGUUAUACGUCACUGUUAUUGUUACUUAUAUGUGAUGUUAUAAUUCACUGUUAAUUCUACGUGAUGUUAUAUGUCACUGUUAUUGUUAUUAAUAUGUGAUGUUAUACUUCACUGUUUUGGUUCAUUGUCAUUUGUAGUAGUAAAAUUCAAACCUGCCCUGCUUUUGCAGUAUCUCUGUUGUCUACACUGUGGAGGAGG
rnacentral:lncRNA from 1 species